CUACAACGAUGCAAAGGUUUCAGUGAACAUUCAACGCUGUCGGUGAGUUUUCUUAGUAAGGCUAAACCAUCGACCGUUGAGUGUACCCUGCGGCCUGAGUAGCAGCAGCUGAAUUGAAUGGUUUGGGUUUAAAAUCAGGUCUCCCACAAGGUCCUCACUCAAACAGCUUAGUACAUUCUAAAAUACAAUUACUUUGUCUUGGUUAGAAGGUGUUAAUUAUCAUUGAGUUAGCUAACAAUCUAAUAUCAGACCUUUAACGCAUAGGACUUCUCUAUAAAGGGAAAAUGAGUAGACUAGCUAUUGCAGAAUAGCUCAGGACUCCUUAUUCAAAAUCCCCUUCCCUAAUCAUAAAUCCACAAUGCCUUUCCCAAAGGGUAAAGUAUGUCUGCUCCUGAAGACAGUUCCUGUUCUAAACUGCACAGUUGCAACCACUUAUGUGGGUAUCACAGCUCAGCUAGUGUGAGGCAUUCAGAACGCACAUUCGUGGGCUAAAGUCAAACAGAGUUGACUGUUCCUCUUGCUCAUAUGUCUGCCACCAAGACGUUGUCUAGACAAGGGACUUGUCUACAUAGGGAAAUUGACCAGAAUAGCUAUUGUGAAAUAAGGUAUUCUGCAAUUAUUAUUGCAGAGUAGCUCCCUGUAUGGACACUUUGUUCCAGAAUAAAAGUAAUUUUAUGCUAGAAUAAUUAGUGUUCUUCCAAAGAAGAAUAAAUUAUUCUGGAAUAAAAUCAGUGAGUAGUGUCUCAGUUUCUGGAAUAAAAUCAGUGAGUAGUGUCUCAGUUUCCCUAUCUAUAAAACAGGAAUUCCUAUAUAGGUUUAAUUAAUGUUUUUAAAGUUCUUUGAGAUCUUCCUGCUAUAUAAGCAUGAAUAUGUUAUAUAUGCUUAAUCUCAGUGCCCCAACUCCGUUCCUAUGGUGCUUGCAGACAGAUUCUUACAAGCCCAAAAAGUCACAAUCAACAUUCAUUGCUGUCGGUGGGUUGUGUUGUUGAAGGAAAAACUCACUGAUCAAUGAAUGCAACUGUGAUUGGAAUGGACACAUCACAUGGGAAUGACCUUGUCUUCUGACCUUUUGCUGACAAAGGGAUGGGACAUCACUUCAUUUGGAAUGCUUAGGACCUUUCAGGAAAUGAUAAUCUAAAUACCAUAUAGGCAUGCAAGACAAAGGCUGGAGAAUUUCAAAGUCCUUGUGAAGUAAAUAAUACUUUUAAAAAACAAAAAAUAGUGGACUGAUUUUCAUAGGUGCUUGCAUCUGCCAUUAACUUCAAUCAUCAUAAAAUUUAAAUAUAAAAGAUGUAUUAGGGCUUUAUCCUCAGCUAGUCUAUAUCUCAAUUAGUGUAUGCCUGUUCUCUGCAGUCUAUUGUCAAGUGCUCUGUGUAGUUUUAAAAGACUUGAGCAACAGGGCUUAGAUAAGCACUCAGAAACUACAGUGAUGAGCAUGGUAAAACAGGAUAGAUAGAUAAUUCCUCUUUUCUUGGGGAGAUUAUUCCACUAAUUUUACCAUUAGGACUUGUAUUUUCAGAUACUCAUCUUAAAUUUCCUUUUAUUAUUUAUGUCACAACUCCUCGGGCUAUCCUAAAUAAUCCUUUUUUCUCCUUGGUGUUUCAGAUACUUGUAGACAGCAUUGUAAGUCUUGCAAAGAUCUUCAUUUAUAAGUAUGAACUGAAACACAUUAAAACAGUGAGACUGAGGUGGCAGAUGUUUUGUGAAGCGUUGGCUGAGAAGUUAAUAUUAUUCUUAAGAUUUUGGAUGACAAUCCUAGCAGAAUUGGCUGCAGUUUUGUCAAUCCUGUUGGUCAGACUAUAAAUUUGAAACCAAAAAUGGCGAAUUACAAUUUAAUGGCAGGGAACAUGUCUAGUGGUUAGAGCAGCAAACUCAGAUCUGUCUGCAGUCAGGAUUUCACCCUAUGUGCCUGUUAUUUAGUUAUUUUGCAAAGGGGACCUGAGCAUACGAAAAGUAUUUCAGUUGUUCCGUGAAAAGCAAUUUUUAUAGUCAGGUCUCCUGCAGCUUGAAAAUCAAUUCUAAUGAGAUGGAAAUCUGCUGUGGUUCCCUCAUUGUUGCAGUGGAUAGAUUUCAAAGGAUGAAUUCCAGUACCUAGAUGUUUGGGUAUGAAAAGCCAAGAGAACGCUUCCUAAGUAGAAGGGAAUAUGAACAUUAUGGGCCCAAUAACACAUGUCCUUACUCAGCAAAACUCCUGUUGUUUGAGUAAGGACUGCAAGAUUAGGCCCUGUAAAAUUUGACAAUGGGAAUGCAAGUUUACAAAGACUGUCCAAAAUAGUUAGGCCCAAAAUUCAAAGUCUUGCUAAAAUGGAGUGGGGGAGGGGGGGGGCAAACCUGGCAUAAAUUGGUUUAGCUCCUAUAGCUGACUAUGACAGUUUACACCAGCUGAGGACAGGGCCGAGAGUUGUUGUUUUUUUAAAUCUAAGAUCAAUAGAAAUAUUUACAUUAAUUACCAAAACAUCAAAUCAUAACAGAUUUUUGUUCAGAGGUACAAAAGUUCGGCAGCCUGGGAGGCAAUUUUUAAUUGGAUCUUGAAAUAAAUAGAGAGGAAGGGAAGUUGAUUUAUUAUUAUUUGUAUUAUUAUAGAAUCUAAGAGCCCUAGUUAUUGAACAGGACCUCAUUGUGGUAGGUGUUGUACAAACACAGAACCAAAAGACGGUCCCUGCCCCAAGGAGUUUGCAAUCCAAGUAUGAGACAAGAGACAGAUUAAGGGCUCGUCUAUACUUAAGACGCUGCAGCACUGCCGCUGUAGCGCUUCCGUGAAGAUACAACCUACACCAACAGGAGGGGUUCUCCUGUCAGCAUAGGUACUCUGCCUCCCCAAGAGGUGGUAGCUAGGUCAACAGGAGAAUUUUCCCAUCGACUGAGCAUGUCUAUACUGGGGGUUAGGUCAGUUUAAUUGCCUUGCUUAGGAGUGAGGAUUUUUUACAUCACUGAGUGAUGUAAGUGCCUAAUUUCCUAGUGUAGACCAGGCCACAGACAGGGGAGUACAAGUGAAGAAUGGACAAUAUUGGUCAGCCUUUGUUCAAAGAUGCAGUUGGUGGUGUAGCUGAUCCACUUUUUGUAUAUAUGAAGGUGUCCAGUGCUAAGGAGUCUAGAGAGCUGGGAAUGGGAAAGGCCUUAAAGAAGGGAGUUGCAAAAGUCAAGGUGAUAAUAGUAGAAGAAGAACUUGAUGAGAAAUUCAGCAGAAAUGGAGUUUAAGCCGCAGCGUUUACAAUCAAACGUCUAGCCCGUGUCCUAUUUGCCACUAAAAAAUCUUUGAAAUUUCAGCAUUGUUACAAAGCUAUAUAAUUCUUAAUACUUGGUCUAAAAGUCACAGAUUUUUGUGACUUUAAACCCCAGGUUUUCUGACCAGGUAAUGUUUUUUUGUUUUUUUUCCCAAAAUGUAAAAACUGUAUUAUUGUAAGAAUAGCUUACUUUUCAUUUCAAUAUUUUUUUAAAAAACAAGCAUCUAAACAUGUGACAAGGUAAUGUUGCAGGACAGUUGUCUUUUAGAACUUUUCUUUGAGAUAACCCUUUAAAAUGAAAAAGGAUGAAGACAAAAAAGCAACCAGACUCAUUGGCUCCAGGCUGACUGAUGGGGGAGGGGACUGACUAUAUUUGUCAGGUAGGAUUCCAAAGAUGUGAUUGGCUCCUUUGGAGAGACCUCUGAUGGCCCUUUUAUAAAGUAAAAGCACAUUUUGCUAUUUACUCCCCAAACACAUUCGGGGAGGGACUGAGAGCCAUCUUGAGAGUUACAAGAUGCAGGAUAUUCAGAUGUUUGACAUGUGGAAGGACUAUCUGGGGCUGGCAAAAGUGGUGGAAGAGAUACAAAAACAGCAGAAUAAAUGGGACAACUUGCAGGUGACUGCUGUCUCCGAAGAUGAGGUAGACAGUCCCACAUUCAGAACAGACCUUUCCCCAGUGACUCUGACAAGAAAUUCUCUCUGUGUUUUUUGCAAGCACAAUGGAGAGUCAAGGAAUAUUUAUAUGGCGCACAAUUUAAAAGACAAGAAGGGACGGGUGGAAUGUCCAAUCCUGCGUAAUUACAUCUGCCCCCAGUGUGGGGCCACACAGGAUAAAGCUCACACCAAACGAUUCUGUCCCCUGACCCAGAAGGGAUACACCUCAGUGUACAACUGCUCCUCCAGGAAUUCAGUGGGAAAGCAGGUGAGCCGGUCUCCCAGUGCCCCUUCUGAAAGGAACAAGGACGAUAUGUCAUCCCUGCCAAAUGACUUUUAAAAUGGAAAGGCUUCAGCUCCUGGACUCCAUGCUCAGGUCCCAAAGAAUGAGGCAUCUUUUUCCCCUCACCUUCCCAAAUCUGCCUCAGGUGAUGUCCCUCCUCUGGCAUUUCAGGCAUCUGCUGCUCCAGCUGCAUCAACAGUAGAGGAGGAUGGCAUGGAGGAAGCCAAAGAGAUAUCAUGAGUAAUGCAGGCAAUGUGGGGAGAGAGGUCUGGGAGCCGGAUUCCAUCUGGCUCUUGGAGUGAAGUGGCAAAUAAGGGGAGAGAGUAUGGAGGUGAAUUCUCCCAGCAUCAUUAACUUGCCUACCAUUCUACAGGACCACUUUACCUUUCUAUUCAAGACAGAUACCUGCUUUGGCUUCCAUUGGAUGUUCCAGUUCAUGGAGGGGUAAGACUUACACCUGGGAAGCUGAUGGCAGAUGCCUCAGUCUUUGUGCAAUUAUGUCAUUCAGUUGAAGGGAAUGAGAAAGAAUAUCAACAAAAUAGUCCUGGCCUGAAGACUCCGACAGAGCACUCUGGCCAUUUGUGAAAGCUCACACAGCAAUCCAAUAGCUCUUAGAAGCUAGGUGUUCCCAUAUUUGAGUUGAGGGGGCAUUAGGUAACAAGGUUAAUAAUUUACCAGCUAAUGUUAAGUGGGUGAGUGUUUAAGAAACGAUUGUUUUUCCCUCACAGAGUCUCAAGUCUUCCUGCCUUUAUUUUCUUUGAAAAUUGUUUUAUAUGUUAUACAUAUAUAUUUUAUUUGCCAGUUAUUUCUGAACGUUAUUUUAUUUGCCAGUUUUUGGUCGUCAUUCUAUUGAAAAUGUUAUGUUGUUUCACUAGUAAAAAAAUGUAUUAUAUAAUUCUGUCUUUUUUUUUUUAAACCGAUGGUGCAUGAUAUUAUAGGGAUAAUGAAGUACUGAAAUGUUUGAAGACUCAUCCAUGGAUUAUGAAGAUUGUGUUCAACUAGUAUUGUUUUUUUUAUUGCACACAGAAUGAAAAGAGGAAAGAAAAUAAAUAGUAUCAACAUUCAGGUUUGCCAUCCCUUAUAGAUUUAAAACAGCUGGUAAACAGUUUCACUUUUAAUUCAAGGACCAAAGUUUUGCAUAAUUUAUACCAGAAAAAUACAGCACAAAUCCAGGCUGUUGCAGGGUCAUAGGACUGAAAAGAGCACCUCAGUUCUGGUUUCCCCUGAAAACAUGAAGAAAGCCUGCUCUGCAAGGGCUCCAUAGCAGAAGUGAUGGAGGCCUGGCCUAGAUAAGGAUGAAAGGUAUGUUGAAAAAUCUAGGACCUUAAACACAUGCUAAACUGAUUGAGAUGAAGUCUUAAGUGGGGAGACUAGGGUUUACCUUGAACAGUUUAGCAUGUAUAUGCUGCCUUGUCUACCCUAGGCUUCUCAAACAUGGUAGCUAGAAUGGCUCAACAUUUCACCUUUAAAUUCUAAUCUGGACAAGGUUGGAAGGGAAAGAUCAAGGGUUUACAACAAGAAUUUGAGCAUACAACUGUUUUUUUUUAACUCUGUAUAUGUGCCCUUUGGGGAGGCAGGAGAUGGGUGGAUAUUAUUCCUGUAAUGCAAUCAGCCAGUAGCCAGCAAGAAUUUGGCUCUAAGACACUGGGCCUUAUUCUCAUUUAUGCUACAGCCUCAUUACUCCAUUCUGGCAGUGAAAAAGAGACUUAACAUGGCUAGAGUGGUGUCAAGGGGCCUUAGUGUAAAUAAGAAUAAGGUUCAAAAUGCCAAAUGUAGGAGAGUAAAAGCAACACCAGAACAGAACAAAACCUCUGGCCAUUUAAACCGUUAAACCAAACAAUGCUAUUAUUUGGUUCUGAUUUGAUGCACAGUCCUAGAUCUCCUUCCAUUUUUUUACUGCGUACAGAAUAUUUGUCGCUCCCUUCAGGGCAUGAGCAAUAAACCUUCCCGACUGUCUGCUUUUUCUGUACUUCAGCCUCUUUAAAGACUCCAGAUCCCUGUGGGUGUUCAUUAUCAGUCGACUAGAAAGAAUGAAAACAAGAUGUGUUUCACAUUAGCAACAAACUUCUCCACACAGCUGCAGGAAUCAGAUUCCAAAUAUCUUUU